UUUCCGUAGGUGAACCUGCGGAAGGAUCAUUGUCGAAACCUGCCCAGCAGAACGACCCGGGAACUUGUAUCAACAACCGGGGGCGGGGGGCGUUCUCGCCCCGUGCCCCCGAACGGCGGGGAGACACUCGUGCCUUCUUGCCGAACAACGAACCCCGGCGCGGUCUGCGCCAAGGAACUUCAACUAAAGAGGGCCUCCGGUCGCCUCGGAAACGGCGUGCGUGCCGGGGGCGAAGCUUGUGCAAAACCAUAACGACUCUCGGCAACGGAUAUCUCGGCUCUC
rnacentral:misc_RNA from 1 species